UCCAACCAUGAAGCUGGCUGUCGUGGUGUUGGCACUACUGGUGGUGGUGGGUUCCGAGCCACUGGGUCUGCAGGACGGUAGGGUCCAAACUAGAGGGCUUCUAGAUGGACUCACUGGGGGUAGCAGCCAGUGUUCGGAGAAAAAUCAAAGAUGCCAAGGGGGGAACUGCUGCCCGUCUCUCGCCUGUCUAGCUCUCCCACUUCUCAACAUCAACCUAUGCUUGUAACAGUAUCAUGAUAUCAGCCAAUAAAACAACAGCUUCAAACAUAA